rnacentral:rRNA from 1 species
UGGGGAAUAUUGCACAAUGGGCGCAAGCCUGAUGCAGCCAUGCCGCGUGUGUGAAGAAGGCCUUCGGGUUGUAAAGCACUUUCAGCGAGGAGGAAGGGUAGUGUGUUAAUAGCACAUUGCAUUGACGUUACUCGCAGAAGAAGCACCGGCUAACUCCGUGCCAGCAGCCGCGGUAAUACGGAGGGUGCAAGCGUUAAUCGGAAUUACUGGGCGUAAAGCGCACGCAGGCGGUUUGUUAAGUCAGAUGUGAAAUCCCCGCGCUUAACGUGGGAACUGCAUUUGAAACUGGCAAGCUAGAGUCUUGUAGAGGGGGGUAGAAUUCCAGGUGUAGCGGUGAAAUGCGUAGAGAUCUGGAGGAAUACCGGUGGCGAAGGCGGCCCCCUGGACAAAAGACUGACGCUCAGGUGCGAA